GUGAGCUUUAUUUAAAGAAGUAGCAAUAUCAAAACCAUUUUCUCGCCUGUAUAAUUCAAGGUCCCAACAGAAAAUAGAUGGACAGUCAAGUUAAACUAACUCAGGAAGAAUUUAUUUACAAAGGAACUCAUUACAAAAGUGGAAGAACCAUAAGGAAUUGUGCAGGAACCUGGGUCUAGUAAUAGAAUGGGAGAUACUAAAAGCCAGAAACAGAGAGAAUCGUCUAGAAAAGAACUCCCUGAGAGUGACUUAAAAAAAUGUUUUUUUAAUGUUUACUUAUUUUUGAAAGAGAGAGAGAGAGAGAGAUAGCAUGAGCAGGGGAGGGGCAGAGAGAGAGAGACACACACAGAAUGGGAAGCAGGCUCCAGGCUCCAAGCUGUCAGCACAGAGCUCGAAACAGGGCUUGAACUAACGAGCUGUGAUAUCAUGACCUGAUCAUAAGUUGGGUGCUCAACAGACUGAGCCACCCAGGUGCCCUGGAGAGUGACUUUUGAUGAAGGUACUAGCCAGCCUGAGGCAAACUGCCUAAGUAGGGAGCUGACAAGUGCCCUCACUCUUCUCUCUCUGAUGUCCAUGAUGACUCCCCCUUUUCCUCCUUGACCUAACCUAAUCAGAAGCCAGAAGUUUGGGAACCUACAGACAGUAGGAACCUACAUAGCGUACAGAGGUUGAGAACAGGCAGAGAACAGGAGGAAGGUAAAUCGGGAGGGAGAAAUGGAAGAUUUCUGACACUUUGCCUUUGGAAUGGCCGUGUGAGAGAAUGUGGAUGCGGAUUUCUUCCAGGCAAUUCAGUGUUUGAAACGUCACAAUUCUCCAGAGAAGCCAGUGCAUGAGAAACAUGAAGCUUACCAGUAUCCUUCCUAAAAGCUCACAAAACCAGGAUGACCAGAUAGUAAUAACCAAGAAAAUAAAGAGCAGCAUUUCAUUUCAACUGAGGAUCUCAAAAGACCCUCAGAAACACUGCACAGUGCCAGAAGAUGGACUUGAAUAAAGCCACACAAUGAGUGAG
rnacentral:lncRNA from 1 species